CCUGUGAACUUACCACUGUUUCCUCGGUGGAAGGUACCUGAAAGGGUGCUGGAAGCCGGUGGACAUUUAAACUCUUGUUAAUUUUGUUAAUUCUGAAUCAAACUAAGAAAUAAGUUAAAACUUUCAACAACGGAUCUCUUGGUUCUGGCAUCGAUGAAGAACGCAGCGAAAUGCGAUAAGUAAUGUGAAUUGCAGAAUUCAGUGAAUCAUCGAAUCUUUGAACGCACAUUGCGCCCAUUAGUAUUCUAGUGGGCAUGCCUGUUCGAGCGUCAUUUCAACCCUUAAGCCUAGCUUAGUGUUGGGAGACUGCCUAAUACGCAGCUCCUCAAAACCAGUGGCAGAGUUUUUACGUACUCUGAGCGCAGUAAUUCUAUUCUCGCUUUUGAACACGUCUAGACGAUAGCCAAAAACCGCUUGCUUCGGCAGCACUUUUUUAAUGGUUGACCUCGGAUCAGGUAGGAAUACCCGCUGAACUUAAGCAUAUCAAUAAGCGGGGGA
rnacentral:rRNA from 1 species